CCUACUGAGGAUAGGGGAGAGUUAUUUUCCCAGCCAAUCAUGCAGUUUACAAUUCUGCAAAGAGGAUUGACUGAUACUUCAAUACUAACAGAAUAGACUGGCCAUGGGGGAGAAAUAAGUUUUGCUGUAUCCAGAAGCAAUGAAGAAGGUUUGAAAGAAAAAGGAAGUGUUCAGCAGUUUGAUCCUUCAGGCCAUCUGCUCCAACAUUUCUACACUGAGAUGGAUGAUCCUGGCCUUAGUCAUCAAUGAAGACUAUACAAUGAUAGUGGGGUUUUUUUUGUCCUUUCCAUGCUGAUGAAUGCCAUGAGAUGAUGCAGGCUGUGGCCUUGCCCCAUUGAUGGAUGAAGCAGCGAGGAAGUAUUGAAGAAGCUGCCUCAUCACCAAGGUUCAAGAGAAAAUAUUCUAAGAAGGAAGAAAGAGGGACUUAAAAGAGUAGCAUAGGUUCCUGGAAAAUGAGCCUACUCUGUCAGUCUUAAGGAGUAAUUCGCAAAUCACUUAAACUAGCGUGGUCUCAUUGGAAUCGCUUUAAAGCAGUCUGUGAAGAGCUCCUUAUAAAGAAGAUUAGGAUUAGCCCUGGUGUAAACUGCCUUGGCUGUGUGAAGGCUGCUUAGUUGACUUCGCAAGGGAGUUGGAGCACAUCAGAGGGAGAUGUUUGAAAGGGCAGGUGAUAGGAUGGGAGAGAAACCUGUUUGACUUAAACAGCGCGGGAUCCCUCACCAUCAGGGCUAAUGUACAUCAGCCUGACAGCUAAUUAGGGUAGACAUGGAUUUUUCCAAUGUAACAGAUGUUCGCUAAUCAGGCCAGAUUUGGAGCCCUUGCGCCAGCAACAUUUCAUGCACAAUUUAACUAUCUAAAAGGAAUAAACUACUUAAUGCAUUGUACUGGAGGCACAGCUGUUUCACAAUCAGAAAAUUUGCUGUCAAAGAUGUUCUCUUUAAAACUGACAUGUUUUUAUAUAACUCUGAUGGGGUGUUUAUAAUGUAUUAAUAGUUGUCAGUAAGAGCUGCUGUCAUCAUCAAGAAGUAAAAUAUUUCUGAAGGUAUAUUAAAAUGAGCAGACUCCAUUCUCUUCCCCAAAUCUGUUCCGAUAAUUUAACUGCAUUGAACGUGGCCUAUUUAAUUCUGAACGUGCUUUAAACAAAAGCGUUAACAUAUAUGUAUCUCCAAACUUACCUUGAUUAUUUGGUUUUUAUCAUAUCUACAUUUCGACAGUAGCAUAAAGCUGAGCUCAUCUUAUCACUAUUUUCAUUCAAUCAAAUUCAUUAUGCCCUUCUGGUGAGAAUUAUUUAAUUUGCUUGCAAAAUGACACAGAAUACCACAUAUUUAUAUUAGAGAAAACCCUGUUAGGAAUCCAUUUGAAUGAUAUUAAGAAAAAACUAUUUUCUUGCUUAUAUAUUAUACAGUAGAGUCUCACUUAUCCAAGCUAAACGGGCCGGCAGAACCUUGGAUAAGUGAAUAUCUUGGAUAAUAAGGAGGGAUUAAGGAAAAGCCUAUUAAACUUCAAAUUAGGUUAUGAUUUUACAAAUUAAGCACCAAAACAUCAUGUUAUGCAACAAAUUUGACAGAAAAAGUAGUUCAAU